UUUAUGGAGAGUUUGAUCCUGGCUCAGGAUGAACGCUGGCGGCGUGCCUAAUACAUGCAAGUCGAGCGAACGGACGAGAAGCUUGCUUCUCUGAUGUUAGCGGCGGACGGGUGAGUAACACGUGGAUAACCUACCUAUAAGACUGGGAUAACUUCGGGAAACCGGAGCUAAUACCGGAUAAUAUUUUGAACCGCAUGGUUCAAAAGUGAAAGACGGUCUUGCUGUCACUUAUAGAUGGAUCCGCGCUGCAUUAGCUAGUUGGUAAGGUAACGGCUUACCAAGGCAACGAUGCAUAGCCGACCUGAGAGGGUGAUCGGCCACACUGGAACUGAGACACGGUCCAGACUCCUACGGGAGGCAGCAGUAGGGAAUCUUCCGCAAUGGGCGAAAGCCUGACGGAGCAACGCCGCGUGAGUGAUGAAGGUCUUCGGAUCGUAAAACUCUGUUAUUAGGGAAGAACAUAUGUGUAAGUAACUGUGCACAUCUUGACGGUACCUAAUCAGAAAGCCACGGCUAACUACGUGCCAGCAGCCGCGGUAAUACGUAGGUGGCAAGCGUUAUCCGGAAUUAUUGGGCGUAAAGCGCGCGUAGGCGGUUUUUUAAGUCUGAUGUGAAAGCCCACGGCUCAACCGUGGAGGGUCAUUGGAAACUGGAAAACUUGAGUGCAGAAGAGGAAAGUGGAAUUCCAUGUGUAGCGGUGAAAUGCGCAGAGAUAUGGAGGAACACCAGUGGCGAAGGCGACUUUCUGGUCUGUAACUGACGCUGAUGUGCGAAAGCGUGGGGAUCAAACAGGAUUAGAUACCCUGGUAGUCCACGCCGUAAACGAUGAGUGCUAAGUGUUAGGGGUUUCCGCCCCUUAGUGCUGCAGCUAACGCAUUAAGCACUCCGCCUGGGGAGUACGACCGCAAGGUUGAAACUCAAAGGAAUUGACGGGGACCCGCACAAGCGGUGGAGCAUGUGGUUUAAUUCGAAGCAACGCGAAGAACCUUACCAAAUCUUGACAUCCUUUGACAACUCUAGAGAUAGAGCUUUCCCCUUCGGGGACAAAGUGACAGGUGGUGCAUGGUUGUCGUCAGCUCGUGUCGUGAGAUGUUGGGUUAAGUCCCGCAACGAGCGCAACCCUUAAGCUUAGUUGCCAUCAUUAAGUUGGGCACUCUAAGUUGACUGCCGGUGACAAACCGGAGGAAGGUGGGGAUGACGUCAAAUCAUCAUGCCCCUUAUGAUUUGGGCUACACACGUGCUACAAUGGACAAUACAAAGGGCAGCGAAACCGUGAGGUCAAGCAAAUCCCAUAAAGUUGUUCUCAGUUCGGAUUGUAGUCUGCAACUCGACUACAUGAAGCUGGAAUCGCUAGUAAUCGUAGAUCAGCAUGCUACGGUGAAUACGUUCCCGGGUCUUGUACACACCGCCCGUCACACCACGAGAGUUUGUAACACCCGAAGCCGGUGGAGUAACCUUUUAGGAGCUAGCCGUCGAAGGUGGGACAAAUGAUUGGGGUGAAGUCGUAACAAGGUAGCCGUAUCGGAAGGUGCGGCUGGAUCACCUCCUUUCU
rnacentral:rRNA from 1 species